rnacentral:SRP_RNA from 1 species
GGCCUUAAAGGGCGAUUAUAGAGGUAGCUAACUCCGCCAGGUCGGGAACGAAGCAACGGUAACUAUACUUUGUAUUGCGCUUUUUAAGGUCGCC